rnacentral:rRNA from 1 species
UACGGAGGGGGCUAGCGUUGUUCGGAAUUACUGGGCGUAAAGCGCACGUAGGCGGCUUUGUAAGUUAGAGGUGAAAGCCCGGGGCUCAACUCCGGAACUGCCUUUAAGACUGCAUCGCUAGAAUUGUGGAGAGGUGAGUGGAAUUCCGAGUGUAGAGGUGAAAUUCGUAGAUAUUCGGAAGAACACCAGUGGCGAAGGCGACUCACUGGACACAUAUUGACGCUGAGGUGCGAAAAGCGUGGGGAGCAAACAGG